GAUGAACGCUGGCGGCGUGCCUAAUACAUGCAAGUCGAGCGAACGGACGAGAAGCUUGCUUCUCUGAUGUUAGCGGCGGACGGGUGAGUAACACGUGGAUAACCUACCUAUAAGACUGGGAUAACUUCGGGAAACCGGAGCUAAUACCGGAUGAUAUUUUGAACCGCAUGGUUCAAAAGUGAAAGACGGUCUUGCUGUCACUUAUAGAUGGAUCCGCGCUGCAUUAGCUAGUUGGUAAGGUAACGGCUUACCAAGGCAACGAUGCAUAGCCGACCUGAGAGGGUGAUCGGCCACACUGGAACUGAGAAACGUUCCAGACACCUACGGGGGGCAGCAGUAGGGAAUCUUCCGCGAGGCGCGAAAGCCUGACGGAGCAACGCCGCGUGAGUGAUGAAGGUCUUCGGAUCGUAAAACUCUGUUAUUAGGGAAGAACAUAUGUGUAAGUAACUGUGCACAUCUUGACGGUACCUAAUCAGAAAGCCACGGCUAACUACGUG
rnacentral:rRNA from 1 species